GCGCGGGGACAGCCAUCGGCCUCUUCAAAGCCCGCUGCCCCACACGUGCCCCGCUUCUCCCCAACAUCUGCCGUCACCUCUUCCACCUCCUUGUGUUCUCCCUUCUCCAGGCUGGGUUCCUGCAGGGUCUGCUGCCCCCCAGCCCCACCCCUGCCCCCCUUCUUCUGGAGAAGGCCCUGAGCUCCGUCCAGACCGUCUCAGCUGCCCUCCUAGGGAGGCGCCGAGUGUGAGAUGCGCUCGGGAUGAAGGAGAGACUGGUCUUUUCCGCCCCGUCCUCCCUUCCCGCCCUCUCUGUGUGCUACCCCAGGCGACAUUGCAGGACCCUUCUGUUAACUGGGCGGGGCCCCAUGUUCGGGGACCUGUGCACGUAUUGUAGCCUGUGGGCAUCCCGUGUGUGCCGAGGCAUUUAUGAAUUUGUGAGUGUGUGCAGACGGGAGCGUUUAGUGUCCAAAGGGAUGCUAACGCGGUUGUCGGCGGAUUUAAUCAAAGGAAGCAGCUGGGGCCCCGGCAGAGAGCAGAACAAGAGAUGGGCCUUUCAUGUAAACUGUCUUCUGACCUCUUUAAGUUUGAGAUGGGAGUGGAAACCGAAGGCCUGUCUUCAGGGUAUAUCCUGCCCCACGGUGAAGCCAAUGGUGUUGCAGGAGCAAAUGGAGGCCGUCAUUACUGUUAUUAAUAACCGUUUACUCACCGUGCACAGUGUGCAGCCAGGCUCUUCGCACAGAGCGUCGCGGCCUCCCCACGUAGAGAAGGCGGGCCACGCAGUAUCGAUCUGGACCGGUUUUUCUUCCUGCGUCUCGUGUUAAGCUUCAGUGGUCCUGUUGGUACAAAUGUACAGCAAGCGAAAUCAGAGAGCGUGCUUAGCGCUGUUAUCUCACGUGCUUGUUUUCCACCUUGAAAAAUGCAGACAGCACAGUGUGGAUGGCAUAUGCCAGCCCCCAGCUUAUUAAGUCCAGAUAUCUUCCCGGCAACCACAGAUGCUCUAAGUAUGCGUCCACGCUUCUGCUUAUACAGAAGCAUGUGUGGGUGGCUCAGUCAGUUAAGCGUCCGACUUCGGCUCAGGUCACGAUCUCACGGGUCGUGACUUUGAGCCCCGCGAAGCGCUCCCUACUGUCAGCACAGAGCUCCCUUUGGAUUCUCUGUCCCCACCCCCUCUCCCCCCUGCUCGCUCUCUCUUUCUCUCUCUCAAAAUAAACAAACUUAAAAAAAUACAAACAGGAUCACGUUAUACACACUGUUCAGCCUCUCACUGUUUUUACUUACAGUAUCUCUGGAGAUGCCCUCCUGUCAGCAUGUGUGGGGCCACCUCAGGCUGGCACCAGAGCCUUGUCCCCCGGAUGCGCUGUCCAGCACCCACACUGUCUCCGUCGGGUGGUCCUUGGGCCCUUCUCUCUCAGCUCUAGCACAGAUACCACAGGAUGCACCUUUGUUCAGUACCGACGACAUCGGAGCGUAUCCCUUGAGAUUAAUGUCUUGAAGGGGAGUUGCACGUAUAUACAUUUUCAUAAUUAUUGCCAGAUUGCUAGCCAGAGAGAGGCCCCGAGUAGGUCUCCCAGCGUGGAGCUCGGAAGCCCUGAGCCGGGACUGACCUCCGAGUUGCUGAGCACCAGUUCUCUGGACCCUCUGCACAGGCAGGCAGACCUCCAAAGCUCAAGGUUUUCUGGGUGUCCUUCCAGUGGUCGUGUAUGUGUGCUGAGGUCAUGUGCGUGCUCGCUCCCUUAAUCCCCCAAAUAGUCCGGAAAAUCUCCCCGGGCUGGGACGUGUGGGUCCCGGGAGCACUGGAAGUGCUUGGGGAGGUGCAGGCCCCACAGCGAUGGCCGUGUCUGGCCAAGGAAAUCAGAGAUGUGUCCCCUUCUCGCCUUCCAGACACGGGCGUCCACGUUCAUGCAGGAGUCCGGCUGGGGAGGAGGGAUGCAGACCCCGAACAAGCCGGCCCCGACUCUUGUGUGGCUCGGAGGCCGUGGUUGGAACAAGGGGAAGGGUGGCUCUGUGUGCGCUUGGCUGGCUCAUGCCAAGGUCAGUACGUCCGUUUCUGCUUUCAAAUAGCUUCAGUGCACCCAUGGUCAGAAAUACAGUUUCCAUCCCCUUCCGGGACCACGUACCCAAAGCCUCACAGAAUCAUACCUACUUUGGCCAUACGUGUGAGCUUUGACCUACCCGACCCUCCCCCUCCCCUCGCUUCCCCUCCCCUCCUUUCUUUCUCCUUCUCUUCCCAGAAGCAAUGGUGAUCCACUAAAUUGGGUUCACAGCCCAUGGAGGGGCCCCUACCUGCCGAGGGAAAAGUAUGCUGUGCUCCCCCAGUGUUCUUGUGAUGAGAGGCGCAGUGUUGAUUCAAGCCACCCAAGGUUAAAAGUGGCUGAAUCUCACUGCUCUGUUAUCACUCCUCUGUCCUCACCCGUGUCCGCCCCCGCCGUUUGGCCUUCCUCCGGCCAGCUGGCCAUGGCUGGGCGCCCUGCACGGGUCUGACAUGAAGGAGGCCCCGUGGGCCCAGAGUGACGCUCUCAGACCUGGUGGCUCCUUCCCCCAUCUGUGUGACGUCUGCAAGGGAUGGGCUGUGGAUCAGACGGUCACCCAGGGCACAGGUGAGUGGUCCGUGCGUGUGGAAGCCUUCUUCCCAGGAAGGGCGAGGAGGAGGAAGAGAAGGACACUGACACUGAAGGAAGGUUAUUGUCACAACAGUUGUGUCCUCCCACUUGGCCAUGGAAGCGGAUCCGGAGAAGCUGAGUCCCGGCCAAGGGCCCAGGCUGGCGGAACUGGCUUGGGGCUGGGCUGCCUUGCCCCAAGCUGGAGAGCCGGCUGCGGCUGUCCUUCCGUGGACAGCCCUUUUCCUCUGCAGCUGCUGGUGUGGCUCUGGCCGUGUAGUUAGUACGCGCCGGUCGGGCUGUGGACAGCCCAGGAACACGCCGUGCGCGUGGCCUUUCAGAGCGGCCUGCUGGCACCGUGGAGCCGGGAGACGUCCGUUUCUUUUGGGAGCAAAGCAGCGCCGAUCUGUAACCACACACUUGGAAAUGGGACACUGCCCUCUAAGGACACCUCAGUUGACCGGACGGCCGCCUGUCCCCGAAGAUGUCCUCUGAGGUGGGCAGCCCACGACCGGCCUCCUGCAGCCCCUGUCCACUCCACCCUCUCGGCACAUGGCUCCUACCCCUGGAGUGGCGGGGGUGGGUCAUGGCAGAUGGGGCCCUCGGGAACCGCUCGCUCAGACGGAGGAGGCUGAGGUCCAGUUGGGCUUUGCAAAAAGAGCUCUGGGAUGGAUGCUGGGAUGUCGUCUCUCAAGAUUGCUGUGAAGAGGUGAGCAAUCCCAGCCGUAGGAGCAGAAGGUAAAGGAGUAGGACGGAGAGGGAGCAGGGAGAGAGACUGCUUCCGGUCCUGGGCCAGGGCCUCAUGAGAGGCGAAACCCUGUGCUUACAUCCCCAGGCUUUUGCGGGGCACGAGACGUGGAACGCGCUGCCACCGGACCAGCCACGAGCAAGCUUCUCAGCUCCCGUGUCUUCCUCCAGGGCCGUUAAUGAUACGGAUCUGAGAUACUUUGAGGUUCCCCUCUCAGUCGCUGCAGCUUGAACUAUGUGGAACCUGUGAGUCCUAACCAAUAGAGUGUAACCAAGGAGAGGACAUGUGCCUUCCCAGACCACAUAACAUCAUCUAACACGCCGUCUUAGCAGACUGGUGUGAAAGACAUUCUUUCUUCCACUGGCCUUGACGAUGCAAACGGCCAUGUUGUGACCUGCCUGUGGAACCGAGGUGGCCUCCAGUGACAGCCUGUAGGAAUCAUAGUGCUCAAGGAGAUAAAUUCUGGAGCUGGAGCUCUUAGCCAGUGUGUUCAUAAACACAAUGUGUUACGAGGUAGGACACCUGAAUUAUGACCGUUGUUUAUCUCACUUGUCCGAGAGUCUGACACCGGGCUGCACAGACUUUAGCAGCAGACCAUUCAUGAGCUCAUGCGGCAGGCGAGGAGCUGUGAAUUUCUUCCCUUCGUGGGUGGGAUGGAGCCCCCCCUGCACGCAAGGACUGUUUCUUGAUAAAGAAGAGGCUGGGAGGAGACUCCGGAAGACCUCCCUGCCCUUCCUCUGUUGUGCUCCCUGGUGCGGGAGCCUGGUCCCUGCACCCUGCAUCGCUCCAGACCCCUUGCUGGUGGAUCGAGCUAGUGCUGCUUGUCGUGGAUGAACGUCCACAUCCCAACCCCCAGAACCUGGGAAUGCUAUUCUGUACGGCAAAGGGGACUUUGCAGCUGGGAUUAGGUUAAGCAUCAUGAGAUGGGGAGGCUGUCUGGAUGAUCCAGGUGGGCCCAAAGUAACAAUAAGUGUCCUUAUGGGGGAACGACAGGCAGGAGAUCAGAAGAGGAAGUGGGAAAGUCACAAUGGAGGUAAGAGGUUGGGGUGAUGUGAGGGAGGGGCUACACACCAGACAAUGUGGGUGGACCCAGAAGCAGAAAAGACAGGAAAGGGAUUCUCCCCUGGUGCCUGCGGAAGGAACCCCCGGCGACUCCUUGACUUUAGCCCAGUGAGACCGAUUUCAAAAUUCUGGUCUCCAGCACUGUAAGAAAAUACAUUUGUGUUGUUUUCAGUGUGUGGUGAUUUCUUACUUGCAGCGACAGGAAACAUACAGCUGCCCUUUCUGCAAGAGGAAUACCUCUCUUGCCUACCGCCACGGGGCUGAUGGGGACCCUGUGUGGACGGAGCUCUCUCAUCCGUGUUGGGCUGGGCCAUGUGACUUGUGUCGUCCCAUGAAGUGUGGGCCCUUCCAGGGCCCGGCACAGCCUCCUUGGUGGUCCUUGACCCGCCCUGACCCCCCUUGUCUGCCAUGAGGACAGCACACCUGCUCUUCAGCCCAGACCCAGGUGUGAUGGGCACUGGAGCAGAGUGAGAAAUAGGCCUUCCUUGUGAGCCACCGAGGUGGUUUGUCCCUGUGCACAGCCAGGCUUCUGGCCUGGGUCGGCCCGUGGGCGGCAUUGGAAGGAGGGUUGCAGCAGCCAGGGUGUCUUUGCUGCUUGUCAACCCCAGCAGGUGUUCCAGGACCCUCUCCCCUCCCUUCAGCCCCAGCAGGUGUCCCAGGACCCUCUCCCCUCUCCCCUCUCUUCAACCCCAGAGCCGGCCCUGUACCCUCUCCCCUCCCUUCAGCCCCAGCAGGUGUCCCAGUACCCUCUUCCCUCCCUUCAGCCCCAACAGGUAUCCCUGGACCCCCUCCCCUCUCCCCUCCCUUCAGCCCCAACAGGUGUCCCAGGACCCUCUCCCUUCUCUCCUCUCUUCAACCCCAGAGUUGUCCCUGGACCCUCUCUCUUCUCUUCAGCCCCAGCAGGUGUCCCUGGACCCUCUCCCCUCCCUUCAGCCCCAACAGGUAUCCCUGGACCCUCUCCCUUCUCCCCUCUCUUCAACCCCAGAGUUGUCCCUGGACUCUCUCUCCUCUCUUCAGCCCCAGGAGGUGUCCCCGGACCCUCUCCCCUCCCUUCAGCCCCAGCAGGUGUCUCAGGACCCUCUCCCCUCCUUUCAGCCCCAACAGGUGUCCCAGGACCCUCUCCCCUCCUUUCAGCCCCAACAGGUAUCCCAGGACCCUCUCCCCUCCCUUCAGCCCCAGCAGGUGUCCCAGGACCCUCUCCCCUCCCUUCAGCCCCAGCAGGUGUCCCAGGACCCUCUCCCCUCCCUUCAGCCCCAGCAGGUGUCUCUGGACCCUCUCCCCUCCCUUCAGCCCCAGCAGGUGUCCCCGGACCCUCUCCCCUCCCUUCAGCCCCAACAGGUGUCUCAGGACCCUCUCCCCUCCCUUCAGCCCCAGCAGGUGUCCCAGGACCCUCUCCCCUCCCUUCAGCCCCAACAGGUAUCCCUGCACCCUCUCCCCUCACCCUUCUCUUCAGCCCCAGCAGGUGUCCCAGGACCCUCUCCCCUCCCUUCAGCCCCAGCAGGUGUCCCAGGACCCUCUCCCCUCCCUUCAGCCCCAACAGGUAUCCCUGCACCCUCUCCCCUCACCCUUCUCUUCAGCCCCAGCAGGUGUCCCAGGACCCUCUCCCCUCCCUUCAGCCCCAGCAGGUGUCCCAGGACCCUCUCCCCUCCCUUCAGCCCCAACAGGUAUCCCUGCACCCUCUCCCCUCACCCCUCCCUUCAGCCCCAGGUGGUGUCUCUGGACCCUCUCCCCUCCCUUCAGCCCCAGCAGGUGUCCCAGGAGCCUCUCCCUUCCCUUCAGCCCCAGGUGGUGUCUCUGGACCCUCUCCCCUCCCUUCAGCCCCAGCAGGUGUCCCUGGACCCUCUCCCCUCCCUUCAGCCCCAGCAGGUGUCCCUGGACCCUCUCCCCUCCCUUCAGCCCCAGCAGGUGUCCCAGGACCAGGACCCUCUCCCCUCCCUUCAGCCCCAGGAGGUGUCCCUGGACCCUCUCCCCUCUCCCCUGCCUUCAGCCCCAGCAGGUGUCCCUGGACCCUCUCCUCUCUCUUCAGCCCCAGGAGGUAUUUCUGGCAGCUGCUAUGUGCUGGCUGUGGUUCCAGCUUUUGCCUUGUGGCCCCUCCUGAGGACCAGCUCCUGCAGGGGACCUGGCCUCUGGGCUCCACUAACCUCUGCCUCUCUCUGGUAGUCCUCCCAUCCCGGGGGAGGGUUCUCCUGCUUUAGCCAAUCCUUGGGUUGCCUCAUGGUUUGGUUUUCUAUCUCUUCUAACAUCUUUGUAACCAGUUUCCCAUAUUAAAUGUUGUCUAUUGAA